GGGAGUGACCUGAAUUACGUUGUGUGUGUAGGCACUAGUGCAAAAACGCUGUUUAACGUCGGUUAAUUUGGGCUUUUAACGUCACUUUAACAUCCGACGUCCCUUAACGGGUGACGUCUAAGGGACGUCGGAAUUCCUCAGAACCGACCUCCAUAUAAACGUUUAAAGAUAUCCACCAACGUCUCUAUAGACGUCUGCUUAAACUCACACCGACGUCUAAUUACUCUGUAUAGACGUCCACC
rnacentral:lncRNA from 1 species